rnacentral:rRNA from 1 species
CAGCAGCCGCGGUAAUACGAAGGGGGCUAGCGUUGCUCGGAAUUACUGGGCGUAAAGGGCGCGUAGGCGGACAGUUAAGUUGGGGGUGAAAGCCCGGGGCUCAACCUCGGAAUUGCCUUCAAUACUGGCUGUCUUGAGUAUGAGAGAGGUGUGUGGAACUCCGAGUGUAGAGGUGAAAUUCGUAGAUAUUCGGAAGAACACCAGUGGCGAAGGCGACACACUGGCUCAUUACUGGCGCUGAGGCGCGAAAGCGUGGGGAGCAAACAGGAUUAGAUACCCCGGUAGUCCCUGUCUCUUAUAC